AAAAAGACAAACCCUGGGUUUUCGUGUGCAACUUUGAUUGUCCGUCUUAUAUGAAAUUUUUUUAUAAUUCGUAUUUUCAUUGUUGUUAGAUGAUAAAACAUGAUUAAUAUUUUAUGCGUGACUUAUCUUUUUAAUUUUUUUCAUAAUUUUUUAAAAUAAGACGGACGGUCAAAUGUUGGGCACGGAAACCAGGGUUUGUCUUUUU
rfam:Oryza glumipatula chromosome 11, whole genome shotgun sequence.